GACGAACCGAGCGAACGUUGUUCGGAAUCACUGGGCUUAAAGGGCGCGUAGGCGGGCUGCCAAGUCUGGGGUGAAAUCCCGCGGCUCAACCGUGGAACUGCCUCAGAUACUGGCGGCCUCGAGGGAGGUAGGGGCGAGCGGAACUAAUGGUGGAGCGGUGAAAUGCGUUGAUAUCAUCAGGAACACCGGUGGCGAAAGCGGCUUACUGGGUCUCUUCUGACGCUGAGGUACGAAAGCUAGGGUAGCGAACGGG
rnacentral:rRNA from 1 species